rnacentral:rRNA from 1 species
GAUGAACGCUGGCGGCGUGCCUAAUACAUGCAAGUCGAGCGAACAGACGAGGAGCUUGCUCCUCUGACGUUAGCGGCGGACGGGUGAGUAACACGUGGAUAACCUACCUAUAAGACUGGGAUAACUUCGGGAAACCGGAGCUAAUACCGGAUAAUAUAUUGAACCGCAUGGUUCAAUAGUGAAAGCCGGUUUUGCUGUCACUUAUAGAUGGAUCCGCGCCGCAUUAGCUAGUUGGCAAGGUAACGGCUUACCAAGGCAACGAUGCGUAGCCGACCUGAGAGGGUGAUCGGCCACACUGGAACUGAGACACGGUCCAGACUCCUACGGGAGGCAGCAGUAGGGAAUCUUCCGCAAAGGGCGAAAGCCUGACGGAGCAACGCCGCGUGAGUGAUGAAGGUCUUCGGAUCGUAAAACUCUGUUAUUAGGGAAGAACAAAUGUGUAAGUAACUAUGCACGUCUUGACGGUACCUAAUCAGAAAGCCACGGCUAACUACGUG